UGGGGAAUUUUCCGCAAUGGGCGAAAGCCUGACGGAGCAACGCCGCGUGAKGGAUGAAGGCCUCUGGGCUGUAAACCUCUUUUAUCAAGGAAGAAGAUCUGACGGUACUUGAUGAAUAAGCCACGGCUAAUUCCGUGCCAGCAGCCGCGGUAAUACGGGAGUGGCAAGCGUUAUCCGGAAUUAUUGGGCGUAAAGCGUCCGCAGGCGGCCCUUCAAGUCUGCUGUUAAAAAGUGGAGCUUAACUCCAUCAUGGCAGUGGAAACUGAKGGGCUUGAGUGUGGUAGGGGCAGAGGGAAUUCCCGGUGUAGCGGUGAAAUGCGUAGAUAUCGGGAAGAACACCAGUGGCGAAGGCGCUCUGCUGGGCCAUCACUGACGMUCAUGGACGAAAGCCAGGGGAGYGAAAGGGAUUAGAUACCCCUGUAGUCCUGGCCGUAWWCRAUSAACACUAGGUGUCGGKGGAAUCGACCCCC
rnacentral:rRNA from 1 species